GUGAGACCUUUGAAGCUCUCCAGGACUGCAGUGGCUUGUGUGACUCCAGAGCUGGGACACCUCUCAGGGGACAUUUUGCAAGGAUUGAAAGAUCAUCUGUUGAUGAUUUUGUGAGGACUCAAAGGCCUGAUUUUUUGAGGUACACCAACUGUCCAUUGAUGAAUGCUGACACAUAAAAUUUUACAGUCAUGCCAAGAAGCGGCAGAAGCAGCAGCACAGCACCUGGGGAGCUGUCAGCAAAGUGUGCACAGCCCUUGCACAACAGGACCACAAGCAAAGCACAGCUCUCCAGGCUCCACUGGAAAACUACAAAACAAGAACAAAACAAAACAAAAAACCUCACGCAAAUAAAAUCAACAGCAGCAGUAACAUACACUUCAUAGGAACGCUGAGGCAUAGAAAGGAGUCACCAUAAGGGAACAUCUUUUUCAGACCAAUAUUUGGUGUCAGAAACCAGAAGUUCACAGCUUUACUGAGCUAGCAAUAAAAAGACUAAUCUAAAAAACAAGAUCAUAGAAUAGUGGUUCCUAGGUCACUGAUAUUAAGCAAAGUAGUAAAAAUGGUAUAGAAAGUCAGUGUUUCUCAUUUUAAUGUUUUCAAUCUAAAUUUAAAAUGUGGGAUUAUUGUACAAAUAGGGAAAAAGGGGUUUUUUACUUCUUAAAGAUCUCAGGGAACACAUAAGUUACACAGCCUCAGGAAAGGUAAAAAUGACUCAGAGGUUGAAAGCUGAAAAGAGAUCUAAAUGAAGAGUAAAGGGAAAGGACAAGGACUAGCUUACAGGAAGGGCAUGAGAGGGUGAAAUGAAACACACACAUUUUCUGUGCAUUGCUUUUCUCACCUACAAUUGAAGCACCUAAUAAGCUUUCAUCAAAAAUUAAGGAAAUCGUAGUUUCUAGCUGCUUAUCUAGAAAUUGUAAAUAAUGUAAUAUUCUCAGGUAAAAUUUAUUAGAUAAUUUUGCAUCUGUGAAAGACCUUAUCAAUCCUGAAUUCUGUUUUUGAGAGACAUGGGAAGAUAUGAAAACUAAUAACGCCCAAUACUGGAAUUCUACAAGUUCUACAAGUUCUUUACACCUGGUACUCCUGGGUUUUUUUUCUUCUUCCUUUUCCUCUUUUUCUUUUUCUUUUUCUUUUUCUUUUUCUUUUUCUUUUUCUUUUUCUUUUUCUUUUUCUUUUUCUUUUUCCUUUUCUUUUUCUUUUUCCUUUUCUCUUUCUUUUUUUUUUUCUUUUUCUCUUUUUCUUUUUCUUCUUCUUUUAUUUUUAUUUUUAUUAUUUUUAUUUUUAUUUUUAUUUUUAUUUUUAUUUUUAUUUUUAUUUUUAUUUUUAUUUUUAUUUUUAUUUUUAUUUUUAUUUUUAUUUUUAUUUUUAUUUUUAUUUUUAUUUUUAUUUUUAUUUUUAUUUUUUCUUCUCCAGUUUUUUUCUUUCUUUUUAUUUUUCUCCUUCUCUUUUUUCUCUUUUUUUUUUCUUUCUGCAGGGUUGGCUAUGCCAUGCCUCAUUUUGAAGUCUUCAAGCCCUUUCCUACCUAUCUUUAGGCACACAGAUAUGUGUGUGUGCUUAUUUUGGCCUACAGCUAUGUGGAAAGGAAAUUAAAAGUUUUAUUGAAAAA